rnacentral:rRNA from 1 species
UACGUAGGGCGCAAGCGUUGUCCGGAAUUAUUGGGCGUAAAGAGCUCGUAGGCGGUUUGUCGCGUCUGCCGUGAAAGUCCGGGGCUCAACUCCGGAUCUGCGGUGGGUACGGGCAGACUAGAGUGAUGUAGGGGAGACUGGAAUUCCUGGUGUAGCGGUGAAAUGCGCAGAUAUCGGGAGGAACACCCGUAGCGAAGGCGGCACUCUGGGCCGGAACUGACGCUGAGGAGCGAAAGCGUGGGGAGCAACAGG